GAUUGUGGCAGAGACUGAAAAUUUCUUCCAUUAGCCAGUUCUCUGUCUUGUAGUAAUCAAAGGCCCCCAAGCUGGGUCUAUGGCCACCCGCUAGAGGCUGCCUUUCCCAGCCUCUCUUGCAGCUAGUUCUGGCCAAUGAUGUAUGCAACUUCUAGGCCACAGCCAGAAGGAAAAGUGCUUGCCCUCCACCUCUCCAUUUUGUCAGGAAGGAACAUGGAUGUGGUGGGGGUGAGCCAACUGUGACCACAUGGACAAGAACAUCACCCCCAGGAACAGUGGGACAAGAAGACAAGAAGACAGUGUGAAGCAAAGCCACCUGCCCCUGAGAGAGACAUACAUCUUUGAGCUUGUUACUUGGUCCCUUUUGGAGCAGUUGAACAAAUACACUAACUCAUCCAGGGGAUUGGAGUGUGAUGUUGGUGUCUGGGAGGCUGAAAAGGUUUUGCCAGAACCCAGGUCUAGAUUGAAAGCUUCAUACCAACCCAGGGCACAAGCUAGAACUGAUAAUCAUGGAUGAAAAUCAUCACGAUCCUGGCCACCAGAUCCAUCUUCCUGACUCCAUGGAAGCCACACUAGAUGGUUCUCCUACUGAGAUUGAGACUUUGCAGCCUCCAAUGUACUUCUUGGUCACUGGAUUUUCAUGAGAUAAUGACCAUUCAGUGAGGACCAUGGCAGAGCGGCUCUGUCUUGUCAGUGUCCUGAAUUCUAGCCUCAAUUACUGCCAAAUAGAGGAGUCACAUGAGCACACUCCUGUCCUCAAACUCACAACACUUGCAUCCCUCUUAUUGCCAUUUGAUUCUGGGAGACACUGACUCCCAGAGAAGAGGCAUGACCGACCCAACGAGAGCGGGCUGGGAAGUCUUCAAGCCAAACUAAAGACAUUUCUGAGUCCUCCGAUCUGCUGUUUGAGGUCAAUUCCUCCUGAAGAGCAGGUGCUGCCUGACACUGACUUGACCUGCUUGGGAGCUCUACAGGGGCAGAGAGGUCUGGGCUGCAGGUGGGACAGUGAGUAGCACACCUGGUGAGAGCCAGGGGGCUGAGCAC
rnacentral:lncRNA from 1 species